rnacentral:rRNA from 1 species
CGGCAACAGCUCAAAUUUGAAAUCUGGCCCCCCGGGGCCCGAGUUGUAAUUUGCAGAGGAUGCUUUUGGCGAAGCGCCGCCCGAGUUCCCUGGAACGGGACGCCACAGAGGGUGAGAGCCCCGUCUGGCUGGACGCCGAGCCUCUGUAAAGCUCCUUCGAC